GCCUGGGUGGCUCAGUCGGUUGAGCGUCUGACUUCGGCUCAGGUCAUGAUCUCACAGUUGGUGAGCUCGAGCCCCGCAUCAGGCU
rfam:Felis catus isolate Cinnamon breed Abyssinian chromosome C1, whole genome shotgun sequence.